AUGUAAAAAUUGAGGGUUUCGCCGAACGCCCAUUAUUCUGUGCAGGUAUGAGAUUAGAAUGAAGUUCACGGAUUCCCCGGUGGUUGAGCUCUCUGUUCACGACACGCUCCUCUCGAUCCAUCAGGACAAUGGCUCGAUGCACGUCGGAACCUCCGUCUGGCCCUGCUCCUUAGUUCUGGUCAAGUUCGUGGAGCGCUGGCAGCCGCUAAAAUGCACUGCGGCGAACAAUCCUUACGCCGACCUCUUAAACUUCACCAACAAGCGCGGGGUCGAACUCGGCACCGGAUGCGGAGUCGCCGCCAUGGGACUUUAUCUGCUAGGCCUUCAGGAUGUCGUUCUGACUGACAUCACGCCUGUGAUGCCGGCGUUGAAGCACAAUUUGAAGCGCAACAAACCAGCGCUGAAGAAAACCCUAAAAGUUGCGAAGUUGUACUGGGGGAACGAGGAGCAGGAGAAAUCGCUGAAACCGCCUUUCAAUUUCGUGUUCGCGGCGGAUGUGGUUUAUCUGGAGGAGACAGUGGCUCCUUUGAUUAGGACGAUGCAGAGAUUGGUGGCGGAUGACGGCGUCGUAUUGCUGGGCUACCAGCUGAGGUCCCCCGAGGCCCAUAAAUUGUUCUGGGAAAUGUGUGGGGGCGUAUUCGAGGUGGAGAAGAUUCCCCAUGAACAUUUGCAUCCUGAGUACGCCUACGAGGAAACGGAUAUCUAUGUUAUGAGGAAGAAGCGGGAUCAGCUGCAGGAUUCUUGAGGGGUCAGGAAUUCACAAUUCUGCAUAAAAAGGAAACAGCAGUGUUAGACAAAUAUUCGACACUACUCAAUGCAGAUUGGAAUGAAAAUGGUGUUAUGAACAAGCCCUCUAUUUUGAUGCUACAAAAUUAUGGAAACAUUGCGAGGCUUAUCAAUCAUAGCUGCAAAUAUCAUCAAGAUCCCAGUUCGGAUGGAGAUUCUUGACAGGCAUUUUAUCAUAUCGCUCUCUUCAAUUCAAGAGAAGUUAAAGCUCAAGAAGAGCUUACUUGGAAAACGUUUAUACUUCACUCUUGCACUUUCAGGUAAGGAUCCCCGGUGGCCCGGGCCAUGUCCAAUACAGUCAUCUGAAACGAGCCGAUUCUCAUUUGAGAUUUCUCCAAGUUACACAUAUUUAUCCUAUAUUCACUCAGUGGCUAGAGGUAGAAAUAAUGCUACACUAAAUUUGGUCAGUUUUGGUACCAUGAGUGUGUUGAUAUGGAUAAGAGAUAAUUAGUGUAUUCUAAAGGUAAAUCAUUUCUUGAAGUUGGCUGUUGAAUAAAACAUCUGUCACAAAACCUUAAUUGUGGUAUUUAUGAAAAGUCGAAACUUAUGCUAUUUUAGAAUUGUUUUAAA